GGGUCUGAGAAACUGUGUGUUUCCUAUUGCAUUUAUCAAUAAGUAACCUGGCUAAAGGUAAUAACUUUCAGGAACUCCUGUGUACAUCCACAAACAAUUCUGCUGAUUUCCACAAAGGUAUCCUCUCCUAUCACUGUGGGUGCUGAAGAUCCAGGAUAUGUGACAAGCAGUCAGACCUAGUUUUAGGCAAGCAUUUCAGUGGAUUUGACUGAGUGUACAAAAGGUGCAAGGUCACAGAACAAAAAGCAAACAAAAAAGUUUUAAGUAAGUGAUUUUGAGUGUAGAACUACCCUUAUUUUGCCUUUUCAGAUAAGCAGAACACGUACCAUAGCAAGGAUUUCCUAAAGUGAGGAACCGAGUAAUGUAAAGGAGAAUCUCCAUUUCAGAGGAUCAGAAAGAGACACUACCGAACAGCAUCACUUCAGUCUUGCCUCAUAGGAACAGAGUCCAGAGACACCAAUGGAAGUAAUGUGCUUUUGGCAUCAGUACAUGAUGGGAAACAACCAGGGAUGGCUGUCGGUACGCUCACAAAUGCACGUACACAGACACAGAGCUACCUUGUCCUUGUUAGGAGAGACUUCAAGCAAAGACUGUUUAUCUUGCAGAACAGUGGAGGCUGUUGUAACUCUUAAGGCAAGCUCUGCACAGAGUUCUGUCUUUGCACUGGACAUCAUGUCCCUUUGCAGCUCAGCUUGAUAAAAGCAAUGAAGAAAUAAGGGUCAUAGACAUCAUACUGUCCUAUCCAGGUAUACAGCGAGGGGUUGUUACUAACUAAAAAGAGAAAUCAUCCUGGUUUGGAUGACUGAGGGUGGGGCAAAACAGCUUGGAAGUCUCCUGUCAUGGUGCUUGAAUGCCUAUUGGAAGAUGUGACUUUUACUGUGCGAAGUGGUCCCGAUGUAUUCAUUCACUGUUUGUGCACCUUUAAUUUGCUUGUCCAGCCUCAUUAGCCUAGUUUCUACUAAUAAAUCUUUGUCAUAAAUUA